UUAAGUCCCUUAACGAGCGAAACCCCUAUUACUAGUUGCCAGCGGGUCAAGCCGGGGACUCUAGUGAGACUGCCGUCGUUAAGACGGAGGAAGGUGGGGAUGACGUCAAGUCAUCAUGGCCCUUACGGCUGGGGCUACACACGUGCUACAAUGGGCGUGACAGAGGGUUGCAAGACCGCAAGGUGGAGCAAAUCCCAAAAAGCUGGUCUUAGUUCGGAUUGUGGGCUGAAAUUCGCCCACAUGAAGUCGGAAUCGGUAGUAAUCGCGGAUCAGCACGCCGCGGUGAAUAUGUUCCUGAGCCUUGUACACACCGCCCGUCAAGCCACGAGAGCAGGUAGCACCCGAAGUCGCUGACCCAACCCUCGGGAGGGAGGCGCCGACGGUGAGAUCUGUGAUUGGGACUAAGUCGUAACAAGGUAGCCGUAGGGGAACCUGCGGCUGGAUCACCUCCUUU
rnacentral:rRNA from 1 species